AACGAACGCUGGCGGCAGGCCUAACACAUGCAAGUCGAGCGCGUAGCAAUACGAGCGGCGCACGGGAUAGUAACGCGUGGGAACCUACCUUUCGGUUCGGAAUAACAUCGGGAAACUGGUGCUAAUACCGGAUACGCCCUUCGGGGGAAAGAUUUAUUGCCGAUAGAUGGGACCGCGUUGGAUUGGCUAGUUGGUGAGGUAACGGCUCACCAAGGCAACGAUCCAUAGCUGGUCUGAGAGGAUGAUCAGCAUCACUGGGACUGAGACACGGCCCAGACUCCUACGGGAGACAGCAGUGGGGAAUAUUGGACAAUGGGGGCAACCCUGAUCCAGCCAUGCCGCGUGAAUGAUGAAGGCCUUCGGGUUGUAAAGUUCUUUUGGUGGGGACGAUGAUGACGGUACCCACAGAAUAAGCUCCGGCUAACUUCGUGCCAGCCGCCGCGGUAA
rnacentral:rRNA from 1 species